AUUGAACGCUGGCGGCAGGCCUAACACAUGCAAGUCGAACGGUAGCACAGAGAGCUUGCUCUCGGGUGACGAGUGGCGGACGGGUGAGUAAUGUCUGGGAAACUGCCUGAUGGAGGGGGAUAACUACUGGAAACGGUAGCUAAUACCGCAUAACGUCGCAAGACCAAAGAGGGGGACCUUCGGGCCUCUUGCCAUCAGAUGUGCCCAGAUGGGAUUAGCUAGUAGGCGGGGUAACGGCCCACCUAGGCGACGAUCCCUAGCUGGUCUGAGAGGAUGACCAGCCACACUGGAACUGAGACACGGUCCAGACUCCUACGGGAGGCAGCAGUGGGGAAUAUUGCACAAUGGGCGCAAGCCUGAUGCAGCCAUGCCGCGUGUGUGAAGAAGGCCUUCGGGUUGUAAAGCACUUUCAGCGGGGAGGAAGGCGGUACGGUUAAUAACCGUGCCGAUUGACGUUACCCGCAGAAGAAGCACCGGCUAACUCCGUGCCAGCAGCCGCGGUAAUACGGAGGGUGCAAGCGUUAAUCGGAAUUACUGGGCGUAAAGCGCACGCAGGCGGUCUGUCAAGUCGGAUGUGAAAUCCCCGGGCUCAACCUGGGAACUGCAUUCGAAACUGGCAGGCUAGAGUCUUGUAGAGGGAGGUAGAAUUCCAGGUGUAGCGGUGAAAUGCGUAGAGAUCUGGAGGAAUACCGGUGGCGAAGGCGGCCCCCUGGACAAAGACUGACGCUCAGGUGCGAAAGCGUGGGGAGCAAACAGGAUUAGAUACCCUGGUAGUCCACGCCGUAAACGAUGUCGAUUUGGAGGUUGUGCCCUUGAGGCGUGGCUUCCGGAGCUAACGCGUUAAAUCGACCGCCUGGGGAGUACGGCCGCAAGGUUAAAACUCAAAUGAAUUGACGGGGGCCCGCACAAGCGGUGGAGCAUGUGGUUUAAUUCGAUGCAACGCGAAGAACCUUACCUGGUCUUGACAUCCACAGAACUUUCCAGAGAUGGAUUGGUGCCUUCGGGAACUGUGAGACAGGUGCUGCAUGGCUGUCGUCAGCUCGUGUUGUGAAAUGUUGGGUUAAGUCCCGCAACGAGCGCAACCCUUAUCCUUUGUUGCCAGCGGUUAGGCCGGGAACUCAAAGGAGACUGCCAGUGAUAAACUGGAGGAAGGUGGGGAUGACGUCAAGUCAUCAUGGCCCUUACGACCAGGGCUACACACGUGCUACAAUGGCAUAUACAAAGAGAAGCGACCUCGCGAGAGCAAGCGGACCUCAUAAAGUAUGUCGUAGUCCGGAUUGGAGUCUGCAACUCGACUCCAUGAAGUCGGAAUCGCUAGUAAUCGUAGAUCAGAAUGCUACGGUGAAUACGUUCCCGGGCCUUGUACACACCGCCCGUCACACCAUGGGAGUGGGUUGCAAAAGAAGUAGGUAGCUUAACCUUCGGGAGGGCGCUUACCACUUUGUGAUUCAUGACUGGGGUGA
rnacentral:rRNA from 1 species